rnacentral:lncRNA from 10 species
UUUUUUUUUCAGCCAAUCACAAAAAACAGACUUUAUUGAAGUAUUUAGCACUAAACCCCACACAAUUCCAGCUCUGUAGCUGAGGACACAGCCACUUGGCAAUGGCACCAGGUGUUAUACAAGACCAAUAAGUUAAUGUAAAGGACGCUUAGGUGUGGAGGGCCAGUGCUCAGCCGUCUCCUGGCUCAGUACAAGGCACUCUGGGCUCCAGUUAGGACACUGAGAGGCCAGGGAAACCAACAUGCCCUGGAGAAAGGGGCUUAGAGACAAACCGGAAAAGCACAGCAUCCAAGCAGGGUAUUCACGCAUGGGGGGCAGAGUAGGCCCAAAAGUUGGGGGUUGCUGAUGCGGUAAGAGCACAGUGAGAGAAAUGCCAGGUGCAUCCCUUCAGCCUCCUGCAUCCUCCCCCAGGUUCCUUUGAUGGGCCAUCCUGGGUCUUCCCUUGGCACCCUUGUGCAAUCGGCUACAUCGUUUUCUUUCCAGUAGAGAGAACUGUGCCUCUUCUAGGUCAGACACCAGAGUUCUUGGAACCUUCUGCUAUAUUCACAGUCUGUUCCAGUCCAGGUAACAUGGGGGCAGAGAGUUCUGCACAGGUGAAGUCAGAACUCAGCUCUCCCUACCUCUCCUAGCCUCAAUUCAGUUGCUUUCUCAUUGAAGCAGGUCCCCUGACCUGGAAGCAAAGAAGGCCCUAGGAUGAGAACCCAGGGACAGCUGGGUGGUCUUAGCACAGGCAGCUUCCAGACUUGCUCCAGUCGCUGCAGCUGGGACAAUUAAUGAAUGCCCCCAAAGAAAAUUCAGCAUCUCAUCAGCCCUUGGGAGUGAGUAUGUCCAUGUUUGUAUAAAUAACCACCUUCUCAGAGCAGAAGCAUAGCUGGUGGGGGGAGUAGGAACUGUGACUCCCUCUCCCAACCAGAACAUGCCACAAAAGUGGUGCCUUUCCAAAACCACUUGUAAAGUAUUGGUUUUUGGGACUAUGAUGAAAAAACGUUAGAAGGGCCAGGUGCGGUGGCUCAUGCCUGUAAUCCCAGCACUUUGAAAGGCCAAGGCAGGUGGAUCACUUGAGGUCAGGAGUUCGAGACCAGCCUGGCCAACAUGAUGAAACCCCAUCUCUACUAAAAAUAAAAAAUUAGCAGGCAUGGUGGUGCUUGCCUGUAAUCCCAGCUACUCGGAAGGCUGAGGCAGGAGAUUCGCUUGAACCCGGGAGACGGGGGUUGCAGUGAGCCGAAAUCUUGCUACUGCAUUCCAGCCUGGGCGACAGAGCGAGAC